rnacentral:rRNA from 2 species
CUCAGGAUGAACGCUGGCGGCGUGCCUAAUACAUGCAAGUCGAGCGAACAGAUGAGAAGCUUGCUUCUCUGAUGUUAGCGGCGGACGGGUGAGUAACACGUGGGUAACCUACCUAUAAGACUGGGAUAACUCCGGGAAACCGGGGCUAAUACCGGAUAAUAUUUUGAACCGCAUGGUUCAAUAGUGAAAGACGGUUUCGGCUGUCACUUAUAGAUGGACCCGCGCCGUAUUAGCUAGUUGGUAAGGUAACGGCUUACCAAGGCGACGAUACGUAGCCGACCUGAGAGGGUGAUCGGCCACACUGGAACUGAGACACGGUCCAGACUCCUACGGGAGGCAGCAGUAGGGAAUCUUCCGCAAUGGGCGAAAGCCUGACGGAGCAACGCCGCGUGAGUGAUGAAGGUCUUCGGAUCGUAAAACUCUGUUGUUAGGGAAGAACAAAUUUGUUAGUAACUGAACAAGUCUUGACGGUACCUAACCAGAAAAGCCACGGCUAACUACGUGCCAGCAGCCGCGGUAAUACGUAGGUGGCAAGCGUUAUCCGGAAUUAUUGGGCGUAAAGCGCGCGUAGGCGGUUUCUUAAGUCUGAUGUGAAAGCCCACGGCUCAACCGUGGAGGGUCAUUGGAAACUGGGAAACUUGAGUGCAGAAGAGGAGAGUGGAAUUCCAUGUGUAGCGGUGAAAUGCGCAGAGAUAUGGAGGAACACCAGUGGCGAAGGCGGCUCUCUGGUCUGUAACUGACGCUGAUGUGCGAAAGCGUGGGGAUCAAACAGGAUUAGAUACCCUGGUAGUCCACGCCGUAAACGAUGAGUGCUAAGUGUUAGGGGGUUUCCGCCCCUUAGUGCUGCAGCUAACGCAUUAAGCACUCCGCCUGGGGAGUACGACCGCAAGGUUGAAACUCAAAGGAAUUGACGGGGACCCGCACAAGCGGUGGAGCAUGUGGUUUAAUUCGAAGCAACGCGAAGAACCUUACCAAAUCUUGACAUCCUUUGACCGCUCUAGAGAUAGAGUCUUCCCCUUCGGGGGACAAAGUGACAGGUGGUGCAUGGUUGUCGUCAGCUCGUGUCGUGAGAUGUUGGGUUAAGUCCCGCAACGAGCGCAACCCUUAAGCUUAGUUGCCAUCAUUAAGUUGGGCACUCUAGGUUGACUGCCGGUGACAAACCGGAGGAAGGUGGGGAUGACGUCAAAUCAUCAUGCCCCUUAUGAUUUGGGCUACACACGUGCUACAAUGGAUAAUACAAAGGGCAGCGAAUCCGCGAGGCCAAGCAAAUCCCAUAAAAUUAUUCUCAGUUCGGAUUGUAGUCUGCAACUCGACUACAUGAAGCUGGAAUCGCUAGUAAUCGUAGAUCAGCAUGCUACGGUGAAUACGUUCCCGGGUCUUGUACACACCGCCCGUCACGCCACGAGAGUUUGUAACACCCGAAGCCGGUGGAGUAACCUUUUAGGA